AUGCGCACCCCAUGUCCCCGCCCGCUGUAGCGCCACAGCUCUUUGGGCGUUGAUUCUAGGGUCAGGGCCCUCACUCACACUGCUGGAAGGUUAAAGUCGACUUCACGCUAGUUUAAGGAAAUAUCUGACGCUGAUAACCAUGUCCCAAGCACUGCUCUAAGUUCCCAAUGUGUCCGGAAUUGGUGGGUUCUUGGUCUCACUGACUUCAAGAAUGAAGCCACGGACCCUCGCGCCUCUCUGUCAUCCCCUUCUGCUCCCAGCUGGAGAAAACUCUGCUUUUAAGGGGCUUGCCAUGGUCCAAAUAUUUUUAGACUAUGCUAAAAACAGCCUCAGGACCUUCAGCACUGAUCAACAAUCCUGGGCAUGGGCUGACCGACAGUUUUCACCCAGAGAGUGAAGAUCAUGGAGGAGCCAUCUUAAAUUCUGCCCAGCGCAGGCUCCCAGGAAUCCUAAUGUCACGAUCUCACUGCAGCCAAUGUGACAAACACAGCAGUAAUUAAGUCUAGAGAGCUAAACACACCUCAAAAAGAAUUGUCUCUUGGUAUGAGUGGAAUGGAAUAAAAUACAUGGAAACCCACAAAA
ensembl:lncRNA LINC02482 long intergenic non-protein coding RNA 2482